rnacentral:lncRNA from 1 species
UCAAUCUGCCACACACGCACCCUCGAGCGUCAGAGCUCCUCACAUUGGUCUCUGGCGGGCCUCUUCAAGUUGGAUUCGUGGAUACAGCCGGUCUGAAAUCUCUCUCUCUCUCUCUCUCUCUCUCAUGCUGUGAUUUUUUCCAGGAGUACCACGCAUCAACCUUUUGUACCCGGGCGAUCUCACGGUUUUCCCGCGAGGAACGAUGCACUUUGAGAUCAACGUUGGGACCAAGCGUGCGUUUUACAUCUCGGUCCUCAAUAGCCAAAACCCAGGAACUCUGGUAAACAAAAAAGCUUCGCACGUUUUUUUAAUGUUUUCUGAUCCUUUUUUUUUUUUUAUUAUUCUUUCGUGUGUUGUGCAGACAAGUGGUGGUGCUCUCUUGAUGAUCCCGGACAGGUCCUCUGCAACCGCGCUCAACGUCGGGCUGGACAUGAUCCGGAAGCUCAAGGAGAAUAUGCUGCCAUACACCCCGCAGCUCGAGUUGGCCCCGCCCGCUGUGUGCGUUCCCGGGCGAGACAUCACCACCAAGAUUUAAAGAAUUUUUCUGUCCUUGCUUAAUUAAAAUAAGCUCCUUUUUCUCCAUUUUCUUGAAGCUAGGUGCCUUUUCUGCAAAUUACUAUAAACAAAUCCUUUAGGUUUUCCUAAACUACUCAUUUUUGGCAGAGUAUGUGUGACGCGAGCUUGCUAGUCGCUGGAGCGGACGGAGAGGUAAGGGUUGUCAUGUUGAUUACAGCACGAACACCACCGGGUCUAUUGCGAACAUCCCCAUUAACAUCUCGUAGCACGAAAUCGCUAAGAGCUCCCUACCUUGCGAAAUCUCGCAGUGGAUCGGGAUCGGCAGCGACUAACACAUUCAAGCACCCAAGAUCAUCACUGCCAACAAAGCUUCUUGAAAUCCAACGGUAAAGAAAAAAUGUAUCCAAAUGCAAUCAAUGUCUCGUGCUUGAGAAACAAUGGGGGGGAGAGAGAGAGAGAGAGAGAGAGAGAGAGAGAGAGAUGGAGAGAGAAAAGGUAAGAACGAAAUGAGGGAAGAGGGCAUCGAGUUUGCAUGCAUGCGUGAUCAACGCGUGUUUGUGGAUUUAUUUUACAGACUUUGAAGACUUGCCACUGUAUAUAAACCACAAACUUUCUUCUGGCAGAUUUAUCAUCUCUUCCAUCACAACUCAUUCGCUCGUUUCUUUCUCCUUUUCGCUCUUCUCAGUUUCCGGAGAUCAUCUUUCCUUUGGUCUAGAUCUUGAUCUUCUUGCGAUGGAGUACAAGAAGUUCAUACUGAUGGUGAUGAUCUUGGGCGCCGCCGCAGGGAAUGUGUUUGUGAGUGCCGCCGACCCCGACCCGCUGCAAGAUUUCGACAGCCCGGGAGCUCUCAGCGACUUCGUGCUGCGAGAUGUGUUCAAGAAUGGCGACGUGAGCAAUGGACCUGGUGGCCUUCGCGCCGCGAUCAACAUCACACUCUUCCCAGGAAUCGAGUACUUUGUCUUCCGCUUUGCCUUUCGUUCUGUUAGCUCGAGAUCGCGGUUUUGAUGGAGGUUGUCCUUUGUUUUGCUUGCAGGUCCCAGGGGAUAACUUAUGUACACUUUAACAUGGUUCCCUGUGGAGUCAAUCUGCCACACACGCACCCUCGAGCGUCAGAGCUCCUCACAUUGGUCUCUGGCGGGCCUCUUCAAGUUGGAUUCGUGGAUACAGCCGGUACGAAAUCUCUUUCUCUCUCUCUCUCUCUCUCAUGCUGUGAUUUUUUCCAGGAGUACCACGCAUCAACCUUUUGCACCCGGGCGAUCUCACGGUUUUCCCGCGAGGAACGAUGCACUUUGAGAUCAACGUUGGGACCAAGCGUGCGUUUUACAUCUCGGCCCUCAAU